rnacentral:rRNA from 1 species
UACGGGAGGCAGCAGUGGGGAAUAUUGCGCAAUGGCCGCAAGGCUGACGCAGCGACGCCGCGUGUGGGAUGACGGCCUUCGGGUUGUAAACCACUGUCGGGAGGGACGAAUACAGGGCGUCGAAUAGGCGACCCUGGGUGACGGUACCUCCAAAGGAAGCACCGGCUAACUCCGUGCCAGCAGCCGCGGUA